GUUGACCUCGGAUCAGGUAGGAAUACCCGCUGAACUUAAGCAUAUCAAUAAGCGGAGGAAAAGAAACCAACAGGGAUUGCCCCAGUAACGGCGAGUGAAGCGGCAACAGCUCAAAUUUGAAAUCUGGCCCCAGGCCCGAGUUGUAAUUUGCAGAGGAUGCUUUUGGCGCGGUGCCUUCCGAGUUCCCUGGAACGGGACGCCAUAGAGGGUGAGAGCCCCGUACGGUUGGACACCAAGCCUUUGUAAAGCUCCUUCGACGAGUCGAGUAGUUUGGGAAUGCUGCUCAAAAUGGGAGGUAUAUUUCUUCUAAAGCUAAAUAUUGGCCAGAGACCGAUAGCGCACAAGUAGAGUGAUCGAAAGAUGAAAAGCACUUUGAAAAGAGGGUUAAACAGCACGUGAAAUUGUUGAAAGGGAAGCGCUUGUGACCAGACUUGCGCCCGGUGAAUCACCCAGCUCUCGCGGCUGGGGCACUUUGCCGGCACAGGCCAGCAUCAGCUCGCUGUCGGGGACAAAAGCUUCGGGAACGUAGCUCUCUUCGGGGAGUGUUAUAGCCCGUUGCAUAAUACCCUUCGGUGGGCUGAGGUACGCGCUCCGCAAGGAUGCUGGCGUAAUGGUCAUCAGCGAC
rnacentral:rRNA from 1 species